AUAUAUCAACCUCUUCAGAUUUUGUCUGUGGAGUGUUUGGAUGUUGGGGGUUUUUCUUUUGUGCGGGCCCCUUUCCUGAGGUCAGCUCCCCUGAAAUGCAUUAGCAGAACGAUUUGGUUGAUCUUGUUCAUUGGUGUGAUAACUGUCUACGCUAUUGACAUGAAGCAACCAAGUUCGGCUUCUAACUGCGCCAUUCAUUGCAUUGGACAAAUUUUCAUUA
rnacentral:misc_RNA from 1 species